rnacentral:tRNA from 1 species
CAUUAAGUGGCUGAAAAUUAAGCAUUGGUCUCUUAAACCAAUUUAUAGUAAAUUAAUAAAUACUCUUAAUGG